rnacentral:rRNA from 1 species
UUAAAAUUCUAGUGCAAAAUCGCAAUUAUUUUUUGGAAACAGGCUCUUGAGGCGAAUUGAAAUCAUUUAGUUUUCGAACUCAAAAUGAAAAUGUUGGAAGAAAAGAAAACAUUAUAUCUAAUGUACUCCCUCCGAUCCAUAUUAAUUGUUGCUGGUUUAGUAUAACUUUGUAUCAUGUUAAUUAUCUGCUCCUAGUGUCAUGCCAAAAGUUUCACUUAUGUUUUCUUGUGCACUCAGCCCAAGUGUGUUCACAAAUAGACUUACAACAGUCAGUUCAACCAAAUAGAAAGAAA